ACACAUGCAGUCGAGCGGUAGAGAGAAGCUUGCUUCUCUUGAGAGCGGCGGACGGGUGAGUAAUGCCUAGGAAUCUGCCUGGUAGUGGGGGAUAACGUUCGGAAACGGACGCUAAUACCGCAUACGUCCUACGGGAGAAAGCAGGGGACCUUCGGGCCUUGCGCUAUCAGAUGAGCCUAGGUCGGAUUAGCUAGUUGGUGGGGUAAUGGCUCACCAAGGCGACGAUCCGUAACUGGUCUGAGAGGAUGAUCAGUCACACUGGAACUGAGACACGGUCCAGACUCCUACGGGAGGCAGCAGUGGGGAAUAUUGGACAAUGGGCGAAAGCCUGAUCCAGCCAUGCCGCGUGUGUGAAGAAGGUCUUCGGAUUGUAAAGCACUUUAAGUUGGGAGGAAGGGUUGUAGAUUAAUACUCUGCAAUUUUGACGUUACCGACAGAAUAAGCACCGGCUAACUCUGUGCCAGCAGCCGCGGUAAUACAGAGGGUGCAAGCGUUAAUCGGAAUUACUGGGCGUAAAGCGCGCGUAGGUGGUUUGUUAAGUUGGAUGUGAAAUCCCCGGGCUCAACCUGGGAACUGCAUUCAAAACUGACUGACUAGAGUAUGGUAGAGGGUGGUGGAAUUUCCUGUGUAGCGGUGAAAUGCGUAGAUAUAGGAAGGAACACCAGUGGCGAAGGCGACCACCUGGACUAAUACUGACACUGAGGUGCGAAAGCGUGGG
rnacentral:rRNA from 1 species